CAUCUCAAACUAGGACCUCAGACAAGGAUAAAAAACAGGGACAAGCAAAAAUGCUAUUGUUGCUGGAGUGUAAUGAGGACAUAGGAAGGUCGAUUCCAUAAAAGAUGCUUUCCUCAUAUAAAUUAUAAACACUGCAGAGGGACAAGUUAGAGAGGUCAUUUAUUGUUUUGGUAACCCAGCACGUGAACAUCAUUUUUUUUUCCCAAGGGAAAAAUAAGGAAUGGAGGGCUCUGAUUCGCAGCAUGGAAGCUGAAAAGGAAUGACAGUCUUUCUGACAGGGGUAGGGGCAACACUUUCGUCCUACGAACCCAAAUGAAGAAGGCAUUUGGAGCAGAGCCAUAAAACAGAGCUGCAGCAGAAUCUGGCAGAUUUUGCAGUUGCCAGAAAACCUCCAAGACAGGACAUGAACCUCAGUUCAUAAUUAUACCUCCGUCAGUGUGAUUAUUUGAUUGAUACCUGAAUGUCCCAUUUCACAGUCAGCUCCAUGUGUCUGUUUGUACUCACCAUGGCAUCCGAGAGCCUAAG